CAAUUCGGGCAAACAGGUAGCUAAAUUGAUGGCUGGCUCCACCUCCUGCCCCUUCCAGGAGUCCCCAUGUGCCCCAUUUUGACUCCCAGGUUAGACUCAGGACUUUGAAGACGGAACCUUUUUCUUGACUGGGUAAUACAACUAUCAAUCUUCUGAAAGAAGCUGAUUUUCAUUUACCAACUAUUAAACUGAUAAGAGUGAAAAGAAAAGUACAAGGGAAGAGAAAAGAAAAUGAAAGUGUCUGACUUUCAACAGGAGACCAAGAUGAUCUCUCUCCAACUACUUACUCUGCAAUGAACAUGUGCUGAAGCUUGAGAGCUUAUUUAAGGAGAUAAUAUGCAAGUCAUUUAGCUAAGUUGCUAAAUUGAUUUUAUUUGGAGUUCUUUCAGUGUGAUUGUUAUCUCUGCUUGUUCUUUCAUUUCCCUUUUGUCAAUAAACUUGUGUUUGGCU